AGCCAGUGUUCAUAUUUUUUUCACUGUGUUUUAUUCUUUUCUUUUUCAAUUGCUUAGUUUUUCUUUGAUAUUCUCUCUUUUUUUCCAACUGAGUGUUCUUCCUUCGGUGAGUGCUUCUUUUGAACCAUCGACUAUAUUUUGUUUUCUCAAAGUUUUGAUGGUCGUUUUUUCUUCUUCUUCUUUUUUCGUACUCACCUUGGUUUUU
rnacentral:lncRNA from 1 species